AGCUGGCUUCCUGAUCCAUCCAUCGGUAUAUCAGGUCUCCUAGACUCACAGUGCCUUGAAAGAAAGACAGGAAAUGAAACAAGAGAGAAAUAGCCCUCUGAUCAUUGCCUGCUUGGCAGAAUUUGAAGCUGUCCAAGAGGAGCCAAAGACUUCAUUAUAACUGCAGAACAGCAGAGGUGUUGCUUUUUUAGACCCGCAGUGUGAUGCCCUCAGACUCUGAUGGAAUACAGCUGCUUUCUCAGUAUUAAAUCCUACCCCCAAGGGAUGAAACAACAAUGAACUAUGCCCCUAAAAUGAAUUAUACCACAGCAGUACUUCAGUCUUCUCAGUCCUUGCAGUACUGGGCUCAAUGAAAAAGUGGAGAAACAACAGUAAUGGUAGGAAGAGCAGAGAUCCAGAGAAAAGCCCCUUUCCUGCAAAGAGGGCCUGCCUGCAUAAUUCAACUCCUCCACUCCCUGUUCUACAGAAUGAUUGCCUGCACCCCUAGCACUACAGAUGCUGAUCCACUGGGUGGUCUCAACUUUAAGAAAGGGCUGGUUCCCCACUUCAUAACUCACGCAGCCUUCUCAGUAUGGGAGACUGAGAAGCAGAAAGAACAGCAGGGCCAGUGCCCCGCCC